UGCCAUCGCACCAGAUUUUUAGACA
rnacentral:piRNA from 1 species